AGGCAAGGAUGGAGGGAGGGAGGAGGAGAGGAAGAGGGACAGCUAGGUAGAGGGAGGGAGGAAGAAGAGGACAGAAGGCUAAGCUGGCCGGCCGGGAGGCUUUCCCGGUUGGUGUGUUCUCGUCCCUCUACCACCACCACCACCACCACCACCACCACCCCACCCCACUCCUGGGAGCCACUGCCCUGGGGUGGGAUGGAGCAAUGGAGAGAUAGAAGGAUGAAGCGAGGGAGGAUGGCAACAGAGCGAGGACCCUCCGGAGGCGCAGCGCGAAUGACUUGAAAAGUACUGUGUAUGUGUGUGCGAGAGAGAGAGAGAGAGAGAGAGAGAGUUGUGUGUGUGUGAGUGUGUGUGUCCUUGGUAACGGUGGCGAAGCACUCGCCUGCCUGCCUGCCUGCCCGCCCGCCCGCCUGCUCUCAGCAGCAGCAGCCAGAGCCUGAGUCUGAGCCCCAGCCCCUCUGCAGCCUGUGCCUGAGCCCGAGCCCGCGCCGCCGCUGCCUGCGCGCAGUCCACCCCAACUCCGCAGUGAGCGGCGUGAGCGCCGGGCUGACUCCAGCCUGACCCCGCGGGGCCCCCGCCUUCUUCUUCCUCCUUCUCCUCCUUCUCUUCCUCCUCCUCCUCCUCCACCCACCCCCACCCCCGCUCCUAAGAGCGCCCACCACCCUGAAGAGGGCCGGGCCGGACCCGGGCCAGCCAGGCAGCCGGGAGGCGGCGGAGAAGGCGUCAGCUAGGAGCAAGACUAGAAUGGAGGGAAGAGGGAGGAGAUGAAGAUCUCGGGGCGCCGGGGCCCUCUCGCUAGCUCCCUAGCUCUCUGCCCUGCUCAACGCUCCCCCUCCCCAGGCCGGGACGGUUUGGCCAUUGCCCACUCUCAGGGUUGAGCCCGGGCCCCAGUUGCGCCCAGCCCUGCCUAACCCACGCCCUGGCCCAGCCACCGACUGGGGGAGCCUGGUUGCUGCCGCCGUCUGUGUCGGGGCUCGGGGAUGGGAAGAGACAGAGGAGGGGUAAGGUGGAGGGCAGCCGGCAAGAAAAGUCCGUAGUUGAGCUCCGGCGAGGUGAGAGAGGGCGCCUGGCUGCAGAGAGUGCAGAAGGGAGCAGAUCGGCCAGACAAUUUUUUUUUUCCUGGGGUGGGGGUAGAUGGUGGAUUUGGGCUUGUUGGGGCUAAAACCUCGAGCCCCGGGGGAACCCCGGCUGAUUCUGACGAGCGCACUGCUGCGUGACAAGCAUCUGCCAUCCAGCCCCAGAGCCUAGGAGGAGGAAAAGGAGAAGGCGCAGGAGCACGGGCCGGGCCUUGGUACCAGCGGCUCGGCCCCCACUCCCUCCCGGACCAGGGAAACAAAGCGGCGGCUUCCCCGCUCUGCCCCCUCUCCUUCGGCUCCAGGUGUUUCCUAGGUUUUGCUAGGUUAUGCAUCACCUAGAGAAGCAAAAGAUUUUCUCGGGUGCGGGGAACUUUGGAAUGUAUACCAGCAGCGUGCUGGGGCGGGGAUGUCGUGGACAACAUCGGCUGAGUCAUUCUCGCUGGUCCAGGAGUUCAACUCUGCCUUGACAGUAGGAUGCGUACAGCCAGCCCUGCCUUCUGCGAUGCCUAAUUAGAGCUGGUGCUUUCACCCAUUGGUUGUGCGACAGAAGCUGCUGCCUUCAAGGAGAAAGGGGGGGGGGGGAGGCCAGGGCAGGGCAAGAUGUCUCUUGCCUUGAUUUAAUCUAUUUCCAUGACUCGUGUUUUACUUUCUCCACCCCCCCCCUUCAUCCCAUUUAAAUGGAAAUCUCUGCCCUAAACAGCUGGCUUGACAUUACAGCCACCCCAGACCUGUUCUGAUGAGAUCACGUCGCCUACGGAGACCCCCACAGUGUGGUCGAUCCAAGGGGGCUUGCACAGCUGACGAAAACCUGGAAAGUUUGUGAAAGCGUGGCUUUCAGCAGUGAAGCUUCUGGGGAAGAAGGAGGCGAGGCCAGCCCUCCCUCCUGCUUCCCCACCCCUUCCACCCUCUGGAAAACUGGAAUGUAAUUGGAGAGUUGAGAGGGAGAAUAAAAGGGGCCAGUUUGCUUUUGAGUUGGGGCGGGGGAUAAGAGAAAACUUCCCCCUUUGUUCAUUUAUCCCCCCGCCCGCAGAUCUGGGCUGCCUGCCAUCCAGGACGUCUUUCUAUAUCUGGGUUUACUAUGGUUCAAUGUAGGUAUUACCAGGUGCCCAUCCUUAGCUAGGCAGAAAGCAAAGAUUUCUGUGGUUGGCUGGUGAGGUGGGUAAGCUUUCCCCACACCUUACAAUCCUCCUUUAACACCUGGGAAAAACCUUCCCAGAGAAAGACUGUCCAACAAAGACGCUUUAGUAAUGUGACUCAGGAUCAGGGCUCCCAUUAGCAUGAGUUUGGGUUGGUUUGUUUGUUUUUACAUUCUCAUUUGAGGGGCAGUCUCUCUACCAACUCAGUGAAUUCCACAGCCUGCAGUGCUUGUCCCCACCCCAAAUCCAGUUAAAAGACAGCAUGAGACUUCCAAAUUUGUUUGGACAUUAAAAUAUGAGGCUCCAUUCCUUUGAAGUAGCAUCGUCGAGAUGUCUUGAAAUGCAGCCCUUAGGUAACAUAGUUAAAGGUUCUAGAAGAUCAUGGUGGAGUGCAGUGUGACACCCAGGCCUGUGUUCUAAGGCUUGAUACACUCUCACAACUGAUUUAUGUACUUCUGCCAUCUUUUGAAGAUCCUCUAUCACUCUUCCUGCCCAAUAUAGGCCAAGCAUUUGUUAAUCACCUGCUAAGUGCCAGACACCAUACUAAGUGCUAGGAUACAAAGGCAAAAAUGAAAGCCUUUCCCCUCAACGUGCUUACAUUCUAUCAGGGAAUUAGCACACAGAUGGUCCUCUAACCCCACGACUACUUUCCUAGCACAACUGGUAGGCCAGGACCCCAGAGAAUUGUUGACCAUUAUUCUCUGCAGAAUUCUAGGUGUAACCCUAAGGGGUUGGGAUUGCUAGUAAUCACACACGAGCCCCUAACCCAUGGGCUUCCCAUCAGCCACCAGUCAGAUUCAAAAUACUUUUAAGGAAAGGUAUUCGCCAAGGUGUAUUGAGAACAGUGGUUAAAAAUAUUUUGUCUCCAAAUUUGAGCACGUCUCCCCUAACACGCAUUCUCACUGGAGGAGGACCACAGUCAUGAGGCUUGCACACAAAGGGAUAACUCCCAACUCCUAGUCAUUAGAUGUCCUUUUGUCCCUUGCUAGAGUCCUGGUAAAGUUCCCCUUACUGUAGCUCUCUUCUGGACUUCAAAGACUGGUGUCUUUCUAUAGUCCAUAGCUGGUAUUCUCUCUGCAUAACAGGUCCCACACUAAAGUGGUCCAACCCUUAGUUACCUGUCCUUCAGGAAGUAUCCUGUAUGACAGUGACUCUAUUUUUCCAUGUUUUUCCUCAGUAUAUCUCUCUCUGCUCCCAGAUGGAUAUGUAUUGUCUUCUACCAGUCUUCAAUAGUGGGAGAUGAGGGAGGAGAGCAUAACACUCACUCCCUCUGGGUUUACUACCCCACCCCCAUUCCCUUGUUUCUCUCCAAUAUGAAAGUGUAAAGGUUCUGCCUCCUCAAAGCCUUUCUAAUCCUAGAGUCUUCCACCAACGCUGGCCUAAGCCAACUGCUGACAUUUCUCUGAUGUUUAAAGGCCCCCAGCCAUGUGGUUACUUUGUGUAGUUAGCCAAUUAAUUCUUUCCUUUUUGAUCCAAAGGUAUUGGUACUCAUUAAAGUAAUGUGAACCAUC